GGUAGGGUAGCCGAGCGUCCAGGCGGCGGGUUGUAGCCCCGAAGACAAAGGUUUAAAUCCUUUCUCUACCA
rnacentral:tRNA from 1 species